GUAGUGGGGGACUGCGUUCGCGCUCUCCCCUGAUAACAUGUUCAAUGAAAAACCUAAAAUCACAGAAGUGUUGUGACAAACACGUGUUCUGUUACUGACACAAACAUGACAUCAUUCCACUGUUUGAUAAAACCACUGUGUAUAUUUCUGCCCUUUGAUUUACUGUAAUGUUUAUUUACAUUAAAAGUAAAAUACACUGAACAACAUUCUGAUUAUUUAGCAUGUGAAUUAGUAUAAAUUAUUGUUAUUGACACGUCUGCUGCAUUAGUAGUAAAUUAAACAUCUUUAAGUGUUUUUGUGUGUUUGUGUUUUUAUCUUGUCAACUGGUGUUAAAGAAUAUUUUUAAAUGCUGCUGUUGUGUUCUUUACAGGCCAGCAGAGGGCAGCAAUGGAGCGUUUGUAACUUGGACAAUGUCUUAACUGGACUCUGAUGUCUCAGGAUCACAACAGGUGAAGCUCACCGUGAAGCCUGGCAGUCGUCCAGUGACCUGGUUCCGUCCCACCUGUCCGUGGAGUCGAGCGGCGGCCAUCCUGAGUCAGAAGAGUCACAAACUCAUCAGCAACAGAUCCACAAAUAGAAUUAAUAUAUUCUUGUCUAGUCCACCUGGUGUGAUGUGGCGCCUGUUGUCUUCUUUCACCGCUGCUCUAGUAUGGUUUUUAGUCGGCUAACAGUAGCGUGCUAGCACGUUAAAUCGUAAACAAACAGCUAGCAUUAGCGCGCUAGCGUGUCCGCUCUUUAGCGAGUGUAGCGCUAAUUACACCUAGACCACUAGCUUCCGUUCACCAGUGUUCAGAUAAAUCUAGGUUACUUACCACGUGUUUCUGAGUCCAUGACAGCUGCUUCAUGUCGGACUCCACCAGCUAAGCUAAGCUAAGCUCCGCCGGUUGGCUCCUCUCCUGCUCACGGAGCCGCGUCGUGUUUUAUUCCAGCGGACAGAGGAAGCUCCAGCGCGGCUUGUUCUUUAACUUCUCUUCACUAUUUAUCUGUAAAGUGCGGCUGUUUUCGUCGUCGACAUUGAAACAUACGGAUCAAAGACAGACGCUGCUGCCUCCGUGUGUUGGUUAACAUACAAACUUUGCAGCAUUUCCGCUGAACUUGAACCACCCGUUUAGUGACAGCGCCCCACAGUGGACACUCCGUGAACUACAACAACACAACAGGGA
rnacentral:lncRNA from 1 species